CCCCUCUCAGGGUCGCACCUGGAGAGUUUCCAGUACUCUACCAGUCUCAGCUACGGGAGGGAGAGUCAAGCAGAAGCAUACCCAUCCCAUUCCUAGCUUGGCCGUUGGCUAGCGAGUAGAAGGCAAUCUGCUAACAAG